UGAAAUUUGGUGCCAUGACUCGGAUCGGGGGACCUCCCUUGGGAGAUCAAUCCCCUGUCCUCCCGUUCUUUGCUCCGUGACAAAGAUCCACCUACGACCUCAGGUCCUCAGACCGACCAGCCCAAGAAACAUCUCACCAAGUUUAAAUCCGGCAGGAAUGUCAGGCCUCUGAGCCCAAGCCAAGCCAUCGCAUCCCCUGUGACCUGCACAUAUACGCCCAGAUGGCCUGAAGUAACUGAAGAAUCACAAAAGAAGUGAAUACGCCCUGCUCCACCUUAACUGAUGACAUUCCACCACAAAAGAAGUGUAAAUGGCCGGUCCUUGCCUUAACUAAUGACAUUACCUUGUGAAAGUCCUUUUCCUGGCUCAUUCUGGCUCAAAAAGCACCCCCACUGAGCAUCUUGCGAACCCCACUCCUGCCCACCAGACAACAAACCCCCUUUGACUGUAAUUUUCCUUUACCUACCCAAAUCCUAUAAAAUGGCCCCACCCUUAUCUCCCUUCCCUGACUCUCUUUUUGGACUCAGUCCACCUGCACCCAGGUGAUUAAAAGCUUUAUUGC
rnacentral:lncRNA from 1 species